ensembl:lncRNA
GGUUUAACACAGAGGGGUUGGAAGGGGUAGGUUUAACACAGAGGGGUUGGAAGGGGUGGGGUUAACACAGAGGGGUUGGAAGGGGUGGGGUUAACACAGAGGGGUUGGAAGGGGUGGGGUUAACACAGAGGGGUUGGAAGGGUGGGGUUAACACAGAGGGGUUGGAAGGAGUGGGGUUAACACAGAGGGGUUGGAAGGGGUGGGGUUAACAAAGAGGGGUUGGAAGGGGUAGGGUUAACACAGAGGGGUUGGAAGGGCUAGGGUUAACACAGAGGGGUUGGAAGGGCUAGGGUUAACACAGAGGGGUUGGAAGGGGUAGGGUUAACACAGAGGGGUUGGAAGGGGUAGGGUUAACACAGAGGGGUUGGAAGGGGUUAACCCAGAGGGUUGGAAGGGGGUUAACACAGCGGGGUUGGAAGGGGGUUAACACAGAGGGCUUGGAAGGGGUAGGGUUAACACAGAGGGCUUGGAAGGGUAGGGGGGCAGGGUUAACACAGAGGGGUUGGAAUGGGGGUUAACACAGAGG